rnacentral:lncRNA from 12 species
CAUUAAUCCUAGUCAGAUCAUUUUCCCUAUCAAGUGGAAUUUGACACAGAAUGAUCUUAAAAGAUACCUCAUACCUGCAUUAUACUUUGGGAAAGAAAAUAUGAAUCUUGUCCUCUAUUGAUUCCUCUUUCAUGAUGAUUUUCCAGUUCCUCCAUUGGAUUCUGUAUGAAGCUCCUGCUGGAUAUUUCCAUGUAUAAAGUAGGACACGAGAAGGCUACCUUAAAGAUGAAGAAAAAUGAUGAGAAGAGAACACAAGAAAAAGGACUCAGACUGGACAAGAUGGAAAGCAUUAUAGAUGUGUGUUGAGAGUUCUAGAUUCAUCCUUUUACUCUCAAUUAGCAGGCAAGAGUUGUUGAAAAUAAUUACCUAAUCCCUUUAAUACGAAAUAAAGUAAAUAAAUGCUUUUCUUUGUUUAAGCA